rnacentral:rRNA from 1 species
UACGUAGGGGCGCGAGCGUGUCCGGAAUUAUUGGGCGUAAAGAGCUCGUAGGUGGCUUGUCGCGUCUGCCGUGAAAGCUCAUGGCUUAACUGUGGGUCUGCGGUGGAUACGGGCUGGCUAGAGGUAGGUAGGGGCAAGCGGAAUUCCUGGUGUAGCGGUGAAAUGCGCAGAUAUCAGGAGGAACACCGGUGGCGAAGGCAGCUCUCUGGGACGGUACUGACGCUGAGACGCGAAAGCGUGGGGAGCGAACAGG